rnacentral:rRNA from 1 species
GUUGCGGCGGAGGGUGAGUAACACGUGGGUAACCUGCCUGUAAGACUGGGAUAACUCCGGGAAACCGGGGCUAAUACCGGAUGGUUGUUUGAACCGCAUGGUUCAAACAUAAAAGGUGGCUUCGGCUACCACUUACAGAUGGACCCGCGGCGCAUUAGCUAGUUGGUGAGGUAACGGCUCACCAAGGCAACGAUGCGUAGCCGACCUGAGAGGGUGAUCGGCCACACUGGGACUGAGACACGGCCCAGACUCCUACGGGAGGCAGCAGUAGGGAAUCUUCCGCAAUGGACGAAAGUCUGACGGAGCAACGCCGCGUGAGUGAUGAAGGUUUUCGGAUCGUAAAGCUCUGUUGUUAGGGAAGAACAAGUACCGUUCGAAUAGGGCGGUACCUUGACGGUACCUAACCAGAAAGCCACGGCUAACUACGUGCCAGCAGCCGCGGUAAUACGUAGGUGGCAAGCGUUGUCCGGAAUUAUUGGGCGUAAAGGGCUCGCAGGCGGUUUCUUAAGUCUGAUGUGAAAGCCCCCGGCUCAACCGGGGAGGGUCAUUGGAAACUGGGGAACUUGAGUGCAGAAGAGGAGAGUGGAAUUCCACGUGUAGCGGUGAAAUGCGUAGAGAUGUGGAGGAACACCAGUGGCGAAGGCGACUCUCUGGUCUGUAACUGACGCUGAGGAGCGAAAGCGUGGGGAGCGAACAGGAUUAGAUACCCUGGUAGUCCACGCCGUAAACGAUGAGUGCUAAGUGUUAGGGGGUUUCCGCCCCUUAGUGCUGCAGCUAACGCAUUAAGCACUCCGCCUGGGGAGUACGGUCGCAAGACUGAAACUCAAAGGAAUUGACGGGGGCCCGCACAAGCGGUGGAGCAUGUGGUUUAAUUCGAAGCAACGCGAAGAACCUUACCAGGUCUUGACAUCCUCUGACAAUCCUAGAGAUAGGACGUCCCCUUCGGGGGCAGAGUGACAGGUGGUGCAUGGUUGUCGUCAGCUCGUGUCGUGAGAUGUUGGGUUAAGUCCCGCAACGAGCGCAACCCUUGAUCUUAGUUGCCAGCAUUCAGUUGGGCACUCUAAGGUGACUGCCGGUGACAAACCGGAGGAAGGUGGGGAUGACGUCAAAUCAUCAUGCCCCUUAUGACCUGGGCUACACACGUGCUACAAUGGACAGAACAAAGGGCAGCGAAACCGCGAGGUUAAGCCAAUCCCACAAAUCUGUUCUCAGUUCGGAUCGCAGUCUGCAACUCGACUGCGUGAAGCUGGAAUCGCUAGUAAUCGCGGAUCAGCUGCCGCGGAUUUCC